CACAGGGGAAGCUGAGACGGCACCCUGCACCGUGACACUCUGUCAGUUUUUGUUUCCUGUGGCAGCUGAUGUGGCUUCUCUAUACUCAAGCAGUGUGAGCAGUUCUAAAUACCCACAAGCUACAGGAAAAGAGAGAAGAGAAAGUUACCAAGUGAAGGAAAGAGGGCGAUGCAAGGAUGUUUUGUUUGGCCAACCUUCAGGCAAGAACUCCAGGAGCAGAGAAGACACAGAAACGGACUCAGACACCAUAUCGUUACGCCAUACUUUCACCCUGAGCUGAAGGAAAUGCCACUCUUUACACAUGAGGCUAGUACAACCACCUGAAUAUUUCUUAAGAGCUUAAUAGCAACCAGUUUGUCUGCAUUGUUUAUUUAGAUCAAAGAUUCCUAAACAUUUUUAUCAGUCAAACCCUAAAAUAUUUGCUUUAAUAUUUACCUUCAAAAAUGUUACGCAUUUGCAUUUUCAUGAUUCUUGUAUGUUAGUAAA